rnacentral:rRNA from 1 species
CCUACGGGUGGCAGCAGUGAGGAAUAUUGGUCAAUGGACGAGAGUCUGAACCAGCCAAGUAGCGUGAAGGAUGACUGCCCUAUGGGUUGUAAACUUCUUUUAUAUGGGAAUAAAACGUUCCACGUGUGGGAUUUUGUAUGUACCAUAUGAAUAAGGAUCGGCUAACUCCGUGCCAGCAGCCGCGGUAAUACGGAGGAUCCGAGCGUUAUCCGGAUUUAUUGGGUUUAAAGGGAGCGUAGGUGGAUUGUUAAGUCAGUUGUGAAAGUUUGCGGCUCAACCGUAAAAUUGCAGUUGAAACUGGCAGUCUUGAGUACAGUAGAGGUGGGCGGAAUUCGUGGUGUAGCGGUGAAAUGCUUAGAUAUUACACAGAACACCGAUUGCGAAGGCAGCUUGCUAGGCCGGAUCUGACACUGAUGCACGAAAGCGUGGGGAUCGAACAGGAUUAGAUACCCUUGUAGUC